rnacentral:rRNA from 1 species
UACGUAUGGUGCAAGCGUUAUCCGGAUUUACUGGGUGUAAAGGGAGCGUAGACGGCUGUGUAAGUCUGAAGUGAAAGCCCGGGGCUCAACCCCGGGACUGCUUUGGAAACUAUGCAGCUAGAGUGUCGGAGAGGUAAGUGGAAUUCCCAGUGUAGCGGUGAAAUGCGUAGAUAUUGGGAGGAACACCAGCGGCGAAGGCGGCUUACUGGACGAUGACUGACGUUGAGGCUCGAAAGCGUGGGGAGCAAACAGG